AUUGAACGCUGGCGGCAUGCUUUACACAUGCAAGUCGAACGGUAACAGGCCGCAAGGUGCUGACGAGUGGCGAACGGGUGAGUAAUGCAUCGGAACGUGCCCAGUCGCGGGGGAUAACUACUCGAAAGAGUAGCUAAUACCGCAUACGAUCUAUGGUUGAAAGCGGGGGAGCGUAAGGCAUCGCGCGAUUGGAGCGGCCGAUGUCAGAUUAGGUAGUUGGUGGGGUAAAGGCUCACCAAGCCAACGAUCUGUAGCUGGGCUGAGAGGACGAGCAGCCACACUGGAACUGAGACACGGCCCAGACUCCUACGGGAGGCAGCAGUGGGGAAUUUUGGACAAUGGGCGCAAGCCUGAUCCAGCAAUGCCGCGUGCAGGAAGAAGGCCUUCGGGUUGUAAACUGCUGUUGUACGGGACGAAACGGCUCUGGUUAAUACCCGGAGCUAAUGACGGUACCGGAAGAAUAAGCACCGGCUAACUACGUG
rnacentral:rRNA from 1 species